AGUCAACCUACCCUAUGGACGGGAAUAAUCUCGGGAAACUGAGGAUAAUGCCCGAUAGAACACUAUGCCUGGAACGGCUUGUGUUCCAAAUGAUUUAUCGCCGUAGGAUGGGACUGCGGCCUAUCAGUUUGUUGGUGAGGUAAUGGCCCACCAAGACUAUUACAGGUACGGGCUCUGAGAGGAGUAGCCCGGAGAUGGGUACUGAGACACGGACCCAGGCCCUAUGGGGCGCAGCAGGCGAGAAAACUUUGCAAUGUGCGAAAGCACGACAAGGUUAAUCCGAGUGGUUCCUGCUAAAGGAACCUUUUGACGGUCCUAAAAACACCGUUGAAUAAGGGGUGGGCAAGUUCUGGUGUCAGCCGCCGCGGUAAAACCAGCACCUCAAGUGGUCAGGAUGAUUAUUGGGCCUAAAGCAUCCGUAGCCGGCUCUGUUAGUUUUCGGUUAAAUCUGUGCGCCCAACGUACAGGCUGCCGGGAAUACUGCAGAGCUAGGGAGUGGGAGAGGUAGACGGUACUCGGUAGGAAGGGGUAAAAUCCUUUGAUCUAUUGAUGACCACCUGUGGCGAAGGCGGUCUACCAGAACACGUCCGACGGUGAGGGAUGAAAGCUGGGGGAGCAAACCGGAUUAGAUACCCGGGUAGUCCCAGCUGUAAACUAUGCAAACUCAAUGAUGCACUGGCUUGAAGCCAAUGCAGUGUU
rnacentral:rRNA from 1 species